GGCAAAGAGACGCAGAGCUGCAACUUAAGGAGGGCCAGUACUUUUCAAGAAUUGGGAGUAAAGAAUACACCUUUUUCACAUCAAAAUCUGGACCUUCGCAGCAUGAUGGCCAGCUUCCAUCAUUGUAAUCUGGCCAGAGCCCAUGAAUGGUAAAUUCGGUCAGAAGAGCCGAGCGGCAGCAUCCGUUUUGGGGACAGCAGUAGUGAGUGCGGGCGCAGAAGGUGCCGGGCCAUUGGAGGGAGAGGGCGAAGUAAUCGAACUCCCGCUGCUCCGCCAGCAGCCCCACCUCGCUGGGGAGGCGGAGGACGGAUUCCGGAGCAACGGCGGCGACGGCGGCAACGAGGAGGGAGAUGAGAGAGAGGAGGGGAAGG
rnacentral:misc_RNA from 1 species